UUUUUUUUUUCCAGCAGGGUCAUCAAAGAAGUGUGCCUUACUGGAUGAGCAGGUCUGAGAGGGAUGCACUGAGUUUCCAAAAUGCAGUUCAGCCCAUCACAAACCUGGCCAUUUGGAAUUUAACAGUGUAGUGAAAUUAACUGCUUGAUCCAUGGAGUACAUGGUAUCACCUCUUGUAGUCUCCUGAGAAAAAGAAGAUGGUAUUAUGCUUUUUUCAGUGUUGACUUCAUGGACAGUGCAUUUUUCUCCCUAAUUAAAAUUUAUCUCUUACAAGAUUGAAAUUUCAUUGUACACUUUCCAUUUCUUCCUGUGAGUUUGAUGAAGAAAUGUUAAACGCAAUGUGUGGCUGUGCAUUUACAGCAGUAAAGGAAGGAGGCAUGAAUUAAAAAACAUGAGGACCUGCAAAUAACAUCUGGUCAUAGAUAAAGUAUGAGAAAGAACAUGAAUCUUCCAGGCUCUAGCUGAAGAUCAAAUGAAUCGAGAGAAGUUGCAUUUUCCAUUAGUGUUUUCAUACAGCUCUGCCUCCAGGCUUCAGGCAGGACCAGAAAGAAACAAAAGUGCCAAAAUAUCAUGAGAAAAGCUGCUCUUGCAAAAUUUCUGGCCUGACCAGUAUAGGAAAAUCUCAUGAAAGACUGUUCUCGUUUCUUUCCAGCCCUGCUUGGCAUGCCCACUUGGAAGUUUUGAACCAUAUUUGAAUUAUCUGGUUUCC